CCUGGUUGAUCCUGCCAGUAGUCAUAUGCUUGUCUCAAAGAUUAAGCCAUGCAUGUGUAAGCACACACUGUUUUAAAAGUGAAGCCGCGAAUGGCUCAUUACAACAGCCACAGUUUAUUAGAACUUACAAUCAUGGAUAACUGUGGUAAUUCUAGAGCUAAUACACGCACAAAAACUUCAACUGAAUUGGUUGAAGUGCUUUUAUUAGAACAAAAACCGAACGGCGUUUGGCGAAUGUUGAACGUCGAAACUGUUUGGUGAAUCUGAAUAACUAUUUCUGAUCGCAUGGUCUAGCACCGGCGACAUCACUUUCAAGUGUCUGCCUUAUCAACCUUCGAUGGUAGUCUAUGCGACUACCAUGGUGAUAACGGGUAACGGAGAAUCAGGGGUCGACUCCGGAGAGGGAGCCUGAGAAACGGCUACCACAUCCAAGGAAGGCAGCAGGCGCGCAAAUUACCCACUCCCAGCUUGGGGAGGUAGUGACGAAAAAUAACGAGACGAUUCUCGUUUGAGAAACGUUAUCGAAAUGAGUACGCUUUACACACGCUAACGAGUAGCAAUUGGAGGGCAAGUCUGGUGCCAGCAGCCGCGGUAAUUCCAGCUCCAAUAGCGUAUAUUAAAGUUGCUGCGGUUAAAACGCUCGUAGUUGAAUUGUGGUCUUAGACAACAGUCCCCCUACAUAGGUGUGGCACGGUUGCUCGAGAUCUUCAUUCGUGGUUGCUGUUGUUGCUCUUCAUUGAGUGUCAAUGGUGCCUCGAGAUUUUACUUUGAAAAAAUUAGAGUGCUCAAAGCAGGUUGUGAUGCCUGAAUAAUGGUGCAUGGAAUAAUAGAAUACGAUCUCGGUUCUAUUUUGUUGGUUUUCGAACCGGAGAUAAUGAUUGAAAGGAACAGACGGGGGCAUUCGUAUUGCUGCGUUAGAGGUGAAAUUCUUGGAUCGCAGCAAGAUGAACAAUUGCGAAAGCAUUUACCAAGAAUGUUUUCAUUAAUCAAGAACGAAAGUUAGAGGUUCGAAGGCGAUCAGAUACCGCCCUAGUUCUAACGGUAAACUAUGCCAACCAGCGAUUCGCCGGAUGGUUAUUUACCGAACUUAAAAGAUUUAUGCGAGCAACAUUUUUCAAGAACGUUUGGAAGAAAUAUAGAGUUACUGGUGUACAAAUUGCUCCAAAAGCACCUGAACAACCAUUACCCCGUUUUGGCUGGAGUCUUUUUUGCGCUGUUUUGUGCAUUUCUUUAGUCUGCAAAGCGAUCAAUGUCGACUGGAG
rnacentral:rRNA from 1 species